UCGAACUUUACUACGUGAUAAAACCUCUGGAAAUGUUGACUAAAUAUUUUAAAUUUUGAAUGAGAUCAUUUUGUUGGGGAUAAUAUUUUCGUUUUUUGUUGUUGUGAGUGUGUAUUUUGUUGUUGUUGUUGGUUCUGUCAGUAUAUUCCAAAUAUAUGUAUGGUGUUUAGAAGGUACGAAUAAAGAUGUGUACAUAUUAGUGAAAAUUCUUCCACUUUGGACGUAUAAGAUAAGAGAAUCCUGAGAUAUGAAUAAAAUAAAAAUUAUGAUCCAUUCGUAUAUCACCUAUUCCUUGCACAAAUAAAUUUGUUUAAUGAUGUACUCACCAGAGAUGAAAACAAAAUAGUGGCUGUCAGUUUUAUGACCAUCAUUACAGGUUUAAAAUAGUCUUUUGAAUUCAUUGUUUGGUUCAAUAAACGAAAAAUUGAUCUGUGACUGAUAUAAAUAGAGUUCAACCUGAUGACGAUGAUCGGGAUAUUUUCUUGGCACUGAUUUCUAUUUCUCCAAAAUUGGAAGACAAAAAGAAGGAAAGCGUGGCCAAUGUGAAAAUUGACAUAUGGGCCGAGUUACUUUUUCAAUACACCAAUGUAAAGAAUAUCUCAAGGAAAUCAAUUCCGUUUUUGUGUGGGUGCAAUUUUGUGUCAUACUCAGAAAAUCUACUCCUAAAUUUACAGUAAUGACAGUUGGGUACUGAAAAAAAUGAGGCUUGUUUUAGGGUCUAUUUCUGAUCUAGGGGAAUUGUUAACAGGGAUAUCAAAGUCAUACAACUUGUCGCACAGUACCAGAUUAGUAACUUUAAACUGCAAAAACUGACACUUAAUUCAGAAGAAAUGGGUAAAACUAUAAAUUUGUCAGUGGCGGAUCCGUGAUUUUUUAAAAGGGGCCACUGCCGUGGUCCCGUGGGCGGACCCCAAGGACGCUCUCGAAUUUUAGCAAUGUCUUGAUCGUUAUAAAUGGACACAUUUGGUUGCAAGUCUAAUGGCCCUAUUGUUGGGGUAAUUACAAGCUUUAGCUUCUAAAUAUAGUAACCAA